UACAGAGGGCGCGAGCGUUGUCCGGAAUCACUGGGCGUAAAGAGCGUGUAGGCGGUCCGGUAAGUCGGCUGUGAAAGUCCAGGGCUCAACCCUGGGAUGCCGGUGGAUACUGUCGGGCUCGAGUCCGGAAGAGGAGUGUGGAAUUCCGUGGUGUAGCGGUGAAAUGCGUAAGAUAUCAAGAGGAACACCUGCGGCGAAGGCGGGUUGCUGGGCCGACACUGACGCU
rnacentral:rRNA from 1 species